GUUGGGAAUCUUGGACAAUGGGGGAAACCCUGAUCCAGCCAUGCCGCGUGAGUGAUGAAGGCCUUCGGGUUGUAAAACUCUUUCGACGGGGACGAUAAUGACGGUACCCGUAGAAGAAGCUCCGGCUAACUUCGUGCCAGCAGCCGCGGUAAUACGAAGGGGGCUAGCGUUGUUCGGAAUUACUGGGCGUAAAGCGCGCGCAGGCGGUUCUCCAAGUCAGUGGUGAAAGCCCGGAGCUCAACUCCGGAACUGCCAUUGAAACUGUUGAACUUGAGGACGAGAGAGGUGAGUGGAAUUCCCAGUGUAGAGGUGAAAUUCGUAGAUAUUGGGAAGAACACCAGUGGCGAAGGCGGCUCACUGGCUCGUAUCUGACGCUCAGGCGCGAUAGCGUGGGGAUCAAACAGGAUUAGAUACCCUUGUAGUCC
rnacentral:rRNA from 1 species